rnacentral:rRNA from 1 species
GUCGUCAGCUCGUGUCGUGAGAUGUUGGGUUAAGUCCCGCAACGAGCGCAACCCUUGCCAUUAGUUGCUACGAAAGGGCACUCUAAUGGGACUGCCGGUGACAAACCGGAGGAAGGUGGGGAUGACGUCAAGUCCUCAUGGCCCUUAUAGGUGGGGCUACACACGUCAUACAAUGGCUGGUACAGAGGGUUGCCAACCCGCGAGGGGGAGCUAAUCCCAUAAAGCCAGUCGUAGUCCGGAUCGCAGUCUGCAACUCGACUGCGUGAAGUCGGAAUCGCUA